rnacentral:rRNA from 1 species
CCUGAAACCGUAUGUUUACAAGCAGUCGGAGACCGCUUAAUAAUAAGGUCGACGGCGUGCCUAUUGAAGAAUGAACCGGCGAGUUACGAAGCCUGGCAAGGUUAAGCAGGAAAUGCGGAGCCGAAGCGAAAGCGAGUCUUAAGAGGGCGCAAGUCAGGAAGCGUAGACCCGAAACCACAGUGAUCUACCCAUGUCCAGGUUGAAACACAGGUAAAAAUGUGUGGAGGACCGAACCUAUAUCCGUUGAAAAGGGUUAGGAUGAGGUGUGGGUAGGGGUGAAAUUCCAAUCGAACGUGGAGAUAGCUGGUUCUCCCCGAAAUAGCUUUAGGGCUAGCCUCAGGGAAAAGAUUGCAGGCGGUAGAGCACUGAUCAGGAGAGGGACCUACCCGGUUACCAAACCCAGUCAAACUCCGAAUGGCUGCAAUCAUACCUGGGAGUCAGACUGCGACUAAUAAGGGCCGUAGUCAAAAGGGAAACAGCCCAGACCAUCAGCUAAGGUCCCCAAUGCCGUGCUAAGUGGCGAAGGAUGUGGCAUUUCAUAAACAACCAGGAUGUUGGCUCAGAAGCAGCCACCAUUUAAAGAGUGCGUAAUAGCUCACUGGUCGAGAGACGCUGCGCCGAAAAUGUCCGGGGCUCAAGCACGGAACCGAAGCUAUGGCAUGAUAGCAAUAUCAUGGGUAGGGGAGCGUUCUUAUAAGGAAGAAGCAUGACCGGAAGGACAUGUGGACGAAUAAGAAGUGAGAAUGCCGGUAUGAGUAUCGAAAAGAAAGGUGAGAAUCCUUUCCACCGAAAGCCCGAGGGUUCCUGAGCAACGAUCGUCGACUCAGGGUAAGUCGGGACCUAAGCCGAGGCGAGAAGCGUAGGCGAUGGACAACAGGUUGAAAUUCCUGUACCGGAUCAAGUCGAUCGAGCGAAGGAGCGACGCAGGAGGGCACAUGAUCGCGCGGCUGGAAGAGCGCGUCCAAGUGCGUAUGUUGCAGCAGAGGAAAACCCCUGCAGCUAAAAGCAGAGACAUGAUGGGGAGUUAAAGGAAACUUUGACGAACUCAUGGAUCCCACACUGCCAAGAAAAACUUCUAGCGAGACAAGAUCCGCCCGUACCGUAAACCGACACAGGUAGGCGGGGAGAGAAUCCUAAGGUGCGCGGGAAAACCCUCGUUAAGGAACUCGGCAAAUUGCAUCCGUAACCUAGGGAGAAGGAUGGCCCCCGGUCAGUGAAGAGCAGAAACGCUCAGAGCUAAAAGGGGCGGCAGAAAAGAGGCCCAAGCAACUGUUUACCAAAAACACAGGUGCCUGCGAAAGCGAAAGCUGAAGUAUAGGUGCUGACGCCUGCCCGGUGCCGGAAGGUUAAGGAGAGAAGUUAGCGAAAGCGAAGCAUCGAACUGAAGCCCCGGUGAACGGCGGCCGUAACUAUAACGGUCCUAAGGUAGCGAAAUUCCUUGUCGGGUAAGUUCCGACCCGCAUGAAAGGCGUAAUGAUUUGGGCACUGUCUCAACGAGGGGCCCGGUGAAAUUGAAAUACCUGUGAAGAUGCAGGUUACCCGCGACUGGACAGAAAGACCCCAUGGAGCUUCACUGCAGCUUGAGAUUGAAUCCCGGUGACAGAUGCACAGGAUAGGUGGGAGGCGCCGAAGCAUUGCCCUAGGGCGGUGCGGAGCCGAUGUUGGGAUACCACCCUUCUGUUGCUGAGAUUCUAACGCGAGGAGUAACGACCCUGCGGACCCUCUCAGGCAGGCGGUUUGACUGGGGCGGUCGCCUCCGAAAGAGUAACGGAGGCGCCCAAAGGUUCCCUCAGGCCGGACAGAAACCGGCCGAAGAGUGCAAAGGCAGAAGGGAGCUUGACUGCGAGACCAACAAGUCGAGCAGGGACGAAAGUCGGGCUUAGUGAUCCGGUGGUACUGGGUGGAAAGGCCAUCGCUCAACGGAUAAAAGCUACCCUGGGGAUAACAGGCUAAUCUCUCCCAAGAGUUCAUAUCGACGGGGAGGUUUGGCACCUCGAUGUCGGCUCAUCACAUCCUGGGGCUGGAGUAGGUCCCA